rnacentral:lncRNA from 1 species
GGUGGCAGAGCCCAGCCACCAGGGUCUGCUCCAUGCCUGGUCCCUGGAGAGGCCCUCACCCUCUCUGCUUUCACCCAACCCGACUGACACGGAGUAGGAGGUGGGAAUCAUGCAGGCAGGGAGCUUAGGAAGCCUGGUUCAAGAUUGCUUUGAAUGGCAGGCCCCCUGCUGUGCUCCUGGGGAGAGAGCCUGAAACCUGGAUGCUCGGGAGCCCCUCAGAUCCGUCAUCUGUCCCCGACACCCCUGUGGUGAGCCUUGCCACUGGGCCCUGAGAAGCUCAGAGCAGUCGAGUCAGGGCAGUGGGACAUGACCCAGGUCAGAUGUGGCUUUUCCGUAAUUGUACACCAAUGAUCAAGAGAAAAUGAAGGAUUUUAAUAUCCAGGAAGAUCCUCCGCCUCAGUGCCAGGCCACUGCCCACCACAUGGGAGCAGGAACCAGGGCAUGGGCAGGCAGAAGAGCAGGCGGAGUGGCUGAGCUCCUGUCCCGGCUCCCUAAGGUGUUCCCAGUUUGCGGAGGAUUACGUGCCCUCUCAGCCCAGUAGCACACUUUCCAAAUAAGCCAUCAGACUCCUCCCAAGAUCCUGAAACUGAGGCUCAGAGAGCAGAAGCAGCUUGGCCAAAGUCAUACAACUGGUAGUUGGUAAAGGAGCUGGCCUUGAACUCAGGGAUAUCUUGAAAGCCACUGUUGCUUCUAUGGACUCUAGCCAUUCAAAAGACCCCUCACCUUCUAUAAGACCCCAGGAGAUCCUCAGGGUCCAACUGCUCCCUUGAAAACAGGUCCCAGAUAUAUCUGCCAAAGGUAUGAUUAGGUGCCUAAACACAUACCAUGAGAAAGGGAUUCCAUGUCUUCCAAUCCUGCCCAGAGAUGCAGAGACACCACCACCCAGGGAGAG